GGUCCAGAUUGAAGGCACUUUUUUGCCCCCCCCCCUUCUAGACUAGAGGCAAACCUUUUGCCUCUCCCACAUCCUGUCCCCAAUAAGCUAGUUCGAUCCAAAAUUCCAAAACCUAUAACUAGCAAGUCCUACAACUAAAUGAAACCAUCUCAUUCGCUCAGAAAUGAUCAGAAAUCUGAUCUGGUUCCGGCAUUGCGCAAGUGGAAUUUCAUUUAUUUACAUGUACAGUAUUAUGGCUUUUCGCUAUGCAUUGAAACCAAGAGCAUUUCAAAAUUACUGCCGGCAUGUUUUCAAAGCACCUGGCAGCCUAGCUCGCUGCGUCUCUGUUGAUUCGCGCUACUUUUGUCAAGGCAGUUCCGAAGACAUUCAACUUUCUCGGCCAGUACAGCUUGCAGGUCGUAAAUACCUUCCCGGCUCGUUCGUUCCUGGCUUCCCCGAGCAACUCUCCAGUCCUAGGGAAGGCUUCCCUCUCGUUCUAAAAGCAAGGACCGACGCCGAUCUGGAAAGCAAUAGCGUCGAAUUUUGGUCGGAAUGUUUCAGGGAGCAAAUUUCAGAGUUGUUUAAAGAUUUUCAAAAUGGUUCCAGCGAGCCAGUUGCCGUACUGGUUCGUGGCUUGCCGAUUAGAACCACCAACGAUUUCUCUCGCUUCGUACAGGGUCUGAAUUUCGAAUUCUUCUUGUAUCAGGGAGGCGGCGGUAUUCGUGAUAAAGUCGAUGACUUUGUCCUAACGGGCGCAGGCGAACCAAAAGAGUAUUCAGUCGAGUUGCAUAACGAUAUGUCUUACAGCACAGAUUACCCUAACAAGUUCAUGAUAACAUGUUUAAAAAAGUCCCCAUUUGGAGGCGAGACAGCUAUAUGUAAUGGUCGAGAACUCACUGCGAAUAUAGAUUCUGAUUUGAAGGCGAAAUUCGAACGGAAAGGCAUUCGGUAUGUUGUUACACAUUUUAUACACCAUUGAUAUAUAUGUUGCGUAUAUAUGUGUAUGUUUUUACGAUCAUUGCGUAAUACACUGACGACGUGUGCGUAGAGGAAAUCCUUGUGGGAACGAGGUUGGCGGGGGGUGGUGUUGACUGCAACAAAAGUUUCCCCAACUUAUGAGUGCUUCUUCUAAUCAUAGAUCCAAUCUCGAGUAAAUCGAUUUGGCCUUCGGGGUUUUGUAAAAGUCAAUGAUGCUUGUAGAAUAUUUAAGUGUUUUGCAUAAUAUAAAAUAGUAUAUGAUUGUUCCGGAAUUUGCCACGUCUAUCACAGACACUUCGUAACGUAACUAUCUAAAAUUCUAAAUAACCAGUGCUAGUUUAAUAAAUCGGAAACACCCAUAUAAGAACCUAGAUUUUAUUGAAUCUGUUUUAAGCUAAAAUUGCAAUGAAAUACUAAUACCAACCCAGCGGAAAGUACUCAGCCUUGGCUAAGGAACCUUGCUUCCGAGAUACUGUAGAGAUGUCGGUUAUGAUUACGAGAUCAUACAGUUAUAUUAGAUAAUAUUGUCUAAAGCCAAUAUCUCGUGCUAUAUCGAAAACGAAGCUUUGUUAAUUCAAAGCCUAAAUUCUUUGUUUGCAAUGACAUAAUUUUGGGAUUUCAGUUGACGGGCAGAUAUAACAAAAAUCGGCUAUUUUAAUGUAUUGAUCUAGUUUAGAGACAGUUUAAGACUCAAAAGAUGAAUUACCGUUCAGUUUUACUUGCUACAACCAUUCUGAUAAAAGAAAAAUCCACAAGUUGUUUGAUCCACAAGUUGUUUGAUUGCCCGUCAUUUGGAUGAAAAGUCAUGUGAUUGCAAACAAAGAAUAUACUUAGCCCGAUUCUGAAGUUAAACCAUUUUUAGGCAAACGUGGUUAAAUAUUUAAUUUAUGUGGUUUUAUACUGUGUCAGUUCUAGUUUGAGGGAUUUUAUGAAGGCUGCUCCAUUAUUAAAAGACAAUUUUUUGUUUAAUGCUGUAUUUGAGUAAAUAAUUUUGUAAUUGUCAAAUACAAGGUCGGACGUCAUAUGGGCAGAAUGUGUCUUGUCAGUCCAAGGUUUUUUUGGUACAAUAUAUUGUGCGCCUUGACAUAGUAUGAAGUGUUGAGCUAGUGCCCUGGUGUCAUGUUGUGUGGCACAGUGAAUGAUGUUUGUCGAGUCGUAUCUUAAGGCAGCUCUCAGUUUUACUAACUGAUAUAUUAUAGGACUUGUCGCUGCAACCAGGGACCGAUUGUAUCAAACCCGUUUAGCUUCAACGGUGCUUAAGCUGAAAAUAGAAAACAAUUUUAUAGACUGGGACGCCGGAGAGGUGGCGCGAUUUAACAACCAAACUAAAAGUUUUGAACCUUAAUAAUAGAACGAUAAUGUUUACAACUGCUCAUUUAUUUAAGUUGACUGAGUCACGAAAGAUAUAAGAGUACAUGCAGUGCAUGUUAUAUUUAAUUUUCACUUAUACAAUUAAGCUAAACGGGCUUGAUACAACUUGUCCUAGGGCAAGUAAUUUGGAAGGUUGUACUAAAACGAGAUAAGGAAGGAAUUUUGUCUUUAUUAGAUGUGAAAAAUUAGAUCUUUUUUGUGGUGUACAAAUACACACUAUAUCGUCCACACAAGAAACAAAAGAACAUCAUUUCUAUCACAUUUUAUUCUUAGGUAUCUGCGAUACAUUCUGGACAAAAGCGAAGGCACAUUCAACUCCUGGCAACGAAGUUUGAUGACUGAAGAUAAAGACGAAGCAGAGAAAUUCCUGGCUGCCAGCGGCUACUCCUUUAAAUGGGAUGACAAAAACCUGCUAUACUGGAACGACUCUGGACCGACUAUAACCCAUCCAUUAACGGGUGAAAAAGUUUGGUUCAAUCAAGCAUAUAUGUCGCAUUCUACUUACUUUAAAGCGAUGCCAAUGUACGAGGACAGUGAGUUAGCAGAUGAGAAAUAUCCAUCUCAUACGAUUCAUGCAGACGAAGAUACUAUAGAUUUAGGAGAUUUGCAUAAAUUACGGUGUACAUCAUGGAAUACGGCAGUUGGGGUCUCGUUGGAGGAGAGCGAUGUGUUGUUUCUUGAUAAUCUUGCUGUACUUCAUUCAAGAUUGAGCUAUGAUGGUGAUAGAAUCGUUAGAACAAGUAUUUUGAAAUAGUCAAUUGUUUCUGUGAACACAUAGUAAACAUGCAUAUUAAUUGUAUAUGAGCAUGUAUGUUGAUUAACUGAUAUAUUAUAUGAUUACAUUUUAACCAGGCUUCUUUUAAAUUUCCGUUAGCCUCCCCCAUAAAAUAGAGCCUGCUACGCAGCAAAAGUUCCAAAUGCUGUUCUCCGUUUGUGAAGGACAGGAGACGAGAAGAAGAACAACAGGAUGUCCAAAAUUAUUGCAACCCAAAUUGCAGUGCUGUAUUAAGUAACUUCGUUAAAAGUAACUAAUUACAAGUAAUCGUUACAUUUUUCAGUAACGGUAACUUGUUACAUUUUGAGAACAUGUAACUGUAACGGUAACUAGUUACAAAAAAUGCCAUAAAAUUGAAACGAUUACAAGUUAUUUUGCCAAAGUUACAAGUUACAUUUUGUUCAUUGCUAUUUGUGUACGUUUUUAAAAUGAAAUAAAUCAAUACACAGUCAGGCAAGCUCUUAAUCAUCUGCACAGGAAUAAUUUAAUCUGACACAACAGAAUCCGUUCAAGACGUAAAUUCAAGUCAAGGAUUGACGUCAAAUUUACGUACAGUUGGAACUGAUCGGAAUGCCGUCGCUCGCCUUCACUUGGGCCUUGGCCUCGUCAUAAUUGGUCUUUGGCCUCAUUUCACUUGGCCUUGGCCCAGUCAUGAUCACGUAUUCACGUUUCUGCUUUUUCAUUGCGAAGUCAGAAG